GCCUGGGUGGCUCAGUUGGUUGAGCAUCUGAUUUUUGGUUUUGGCUCAGGUCAUGAUCUCAUGGUUUUGUGGGUUCGAGCCCCACACCGGGCU
rfam:Felis catus isolate Cinnamon breed Abyssinian chromosome C2, whole genome shotgun sequence.